CUUCAUCCAAUACCCCCUUUAGAGUUCAAACCUAAUUUAGAUCUAGAUCUAGAGGUUUCUCCCCUCAUCUCUCUCUGUCUCCAGACCUAAACAGUGGCACUACAAAGAAUUUGAAGCCACCAUUGACAUGCUUCCAAGCUCUGCGUUGAGGUUCAAACGACGUUAUCAUCAAGGCUAAUGAGGGAUUCACAAGAAGAUGAUCAGGCUCCGGUCACCGUCACCAAUUUUCAGCGACCAGAUUGUGAUCAUUUAGUUUGAGGAUGGAGAAAUCCUUGUGCAUGCUCAUGGAGCCAAGGAUGCAUGUGGUGAAGAAAGAUUCAAGUUUUAUAAGGCCUGUUUUGGUUAUAGGGUCACAAGUAGGAAACUUUAUGUGAAGAUCGACAAUUCUUAUGUUGGCAGAUCAAAUGUCUAUGAUAGGUCACUGCUCAGGUGCUUUGGGGGGUUUGGAAGCUAAUGCUAGAGUGUAAUCCAUAUACAAACAGGAUGGCUCCAUAAUUCCCUAAACCAAUUUGUACGUCUAUCAAGGUUCUAAAAAUUGCUCUGGGAGGACGCCUAGGCGCUAUGCGUGAGGUGACCGCCCCGAUUUUGGCCUAGUCAACUGCCGAAUUCAGGUUGGGUUUCGACGGGCACCUAGGCGGGUGCUGGGCGGCCUGGGCGUUGACUAGGCGCUAGGCUGCCUGCUCUUCUACUUCUCAGCAUAGAAAUAAGCAACGCCACGAGACUUUCUGAUGAUUAAAAUCAAGAAAUGAACUAGAAUAUUUGCUGCAAAUCUCAAUCCAACGCUUGAGGAAAUGCAAAAUAAUAAUUAUUACAAUACCUCUAUCACCAACCCUCUCUAAUCUCUAUCACAAAAUCAUAUUCCUGAUCUGGAGCAUCGAAACACAGAGUGGUCGUGUGAGCAGAGAGAAGCAUAGAAACACA